rnacentral:sRNA from 1 species
CCUCAGAUGAGUUAUAAAAAUAUCAGUGGAAAGUUGUGUUAAUUGCGGUCAUUUAUAAACUACAAUGAUGCUGAAAGGCUUACGUAUGAAGAGAACUAGAAAAUGGUAUCUACUCUCUUAAGUUCUUCAUAUUUGGUUGAGAACUAGAAAAAAGUUAUCUCAAUUAGAAAUAUUGUCUAAAUAAUGUUGAUAAGAUUUUGAUUGUUCUGAUUUUACAAAAAAA